GCACAACGCGAAGAACCUUACCUAGGCUUGACAUGCAUCUCUAAGCGCGUGAAAGCGCGUGACCCGUUCGGGGGAUUUGCACAGGUGCUGCAUGGCCGUCGUCAGCUCGUGUCGUGAGAUGUUGGGUUAACGUCCCGCAACGAGCGCUAACCCUUGUGAACAGUUGCCAGCACUUAAGGUGGGAACUCUGUUCAGACUCGCCCAGAUCAACGUGGGAGGAAGGUGGGGACGACGUCAGGUCAGUAUCGGCCCUUACGCCGUAGGGCUGCACACGUACUACAAUCGCCCAGCACAUGAGAACCGAGACCGCGAGGUGGAGGAAUCUAAAAAACUGGGCCCAGUUCGGAUUGGAGGCUGCAACUCGCCUCCAUGAAGUUGGAAUCGCUAGUAAUCGCAGAUCAGCAACGCUGCGGUGAAUACGUUCCCGGGUCUUGUACACACCG
rnacentral:rRNA from 1 species